UUUUGACUUUAAAAACUCUUUUCUCAAAGAGUUUAGACAUGAGUCAUCUAUGGUUGAAAACUCAAAUUCCCCAUAACAUUUAAUCAAAAGAUAUUGAUUCUUUUCCACCUAGGAGAGUUAGUGGCAUACUUGUUGAUUUGAUAUCCAAAUUAGAGCCCUUCCCUAUUGUGAAGCAAAGAUCUAUCGUCAUCAUGUUUGUGGUGGAUUAAAGGAGUUUUAACUUAAGAUGACAACUUGUCUCUUCUCCUAAAAAACAAUCAAACAAACCACUUUAUUAUUUUUACCCCGAACUACGAGGUUUUGAUCCUUCAUUGGUACGUAGGCAUGAGACUUUCGCGUCUUUCCAAAUCAAAAAUUAAUAAAAAGAUAUUUCUUUUCUCAUCUCCCCAAUCAUUUACAAGCAAACAAUUUUAGCCAAAAACAUAUAUAUUACAAGAGGUUCCUAUAGAGUACUAUAGAUGCUUAGGGUGCUAAUACCUUCCCUUUGCAUAAUCAACCCCCGUACCUUGAUCUCUUAUUGCAUUGCUUAUUGCUUUAUCGCUUCUUUAGCUUUGCAUGUUUAUUUGUGGAUUUUAUUCGAUUUUUUCCCCUUCUCUUGGAUAAAUUAAAGUUUGGUGGUGACUUCUUAUUUUGCGAGUCAAAGUCUAAUCAAUAGCUUUGAUCUCCGAAAAUCACCGCGACACAUGUAUAGCUUUCAUUGUAUUUGAAAACUCUCAUUUGAUUGUGAAAGAAAAAUAAAGCCUACCAUAGAAGAAAAAUAAAGCCUUUGUCGUUCCUUCUCAUGUGAACAAAAUUAGCCUCUAAGUCCCAUUUUGAAACUAGAGGAAUUCAAUAUAUCAUGUUCAGAGCCACUAGCUACUACGGUCAUUCAACAAGAUCAACCAAGUUGGAAUACAAAGAACACAAGAUAGGGAUGGAUGGAGCUAAAGAGAAGGAGAGAUACAAGGAGAAAUAUAUUGAAAAUUCAUUCAAGAACUUGACCUUGGUGACUGCAAAACGUUGUCUUCUCCUAUAUUAAAAAGGAAAAAUGAUGAGCUAAUGUUUGUAACGAAGCGGGAGUGCUAUUAUUAAUUUGGCCUAAUCCAUUAGCUUGAGAUCUCUACUUAUACGCACUUUUUUUUCUUUUCAAUUGGACAGAAAAAGAAUGAGCUAAUGUUUGUAACGAAGCUGAAAUGCUAUUAUUAAUUUGGCUCAACCCAUUA